rnacentral:rRNA from 1 species
CAGUCGCCGCGGGAAUACAGAGGGUGCAAGCGUUAAUCGGAAUUACUGGGCGUAAAGCGCGCGUAGGUGGUUUGUUAAGUUGAAUGUGAAAUCCCCGGGCUCAACCUGGGAACUGCAUCCAAAACUGGCAAGCUAGAGUAGGGCAGAGGGUGGUGGAAUUUCCUGUGUAGCGGUGAAAUGCGUAGAUAUAGGAAGGAACACCAGUGGCGAAGGCGACCACCUGGGCUCAUACUGACACUGAGGUGCGAAAGCGUGGGGAGCAAACAGGAUUAGAGACCCCCGUAGUCCCUGUCUCUUAUAU